rnacentral:rRNA from 1 species
GGUUAAGCGACUAAGCGUACACGGUGGAUGCCCUGGCAGUCAGAGGCGAUGAAGGACGUGCUAAUCUGCGAUAAGCGUCGGUAAGGUGAUAUGAACCGUUAUAACCGGCGAUUUCCGAAUGGGGAAACCCAGUGUGUUUCGACACACUAUCAUUAACUGAAUCCAUAGGUUAAUGAGGCGAACCGGGGGAACUGAAACAUCUAAGUACCCCGAGGAAAAGAAAUCAACCGAGAUUCCCCCAGUAGCGGCGAGCGAACGGGGAGCAGCCCAGAGCCUGAAUCAGUGUGUGUGUUAGUGGAAGCGUCUGGAAAGGCGCGCGAUACAGGGUGACAGCCCCGUACACAAAAAUGCACAUGCUGUGAGCUCGAUGAGUAGGGCGGGACACGUGGUAUCCUGUCUGAAUAUGGGGGGGGACCAUCCUCCAAGGCUAAAUACUCCUGACUGACCGAUAGUGAACCAGUACCGUGAGGGAAAGGCGAAAAGAACCCCGGCGAGGGGAGUGAAAAAAGAACCUGAAACCGUGUACGUACAAGCAGUGGGAGCCUCUUUAUGGGGUGACUGCGUACCUUUUGUAUAAUGGGUCAGCGACUUAUAUUCUGUAGCAAGGUUAACCGAAUAGGGGAGCCGAAGGGAAACCGAGUCUUAACUGGGCGUUAAGUUGCAGGGUAUAGACCCGAAACCCGGUGAUCUAGCCAUGGGCAGGUUGAAGGUUGGGUAACACUAACUGGAGGACCGAACCGACUAAUGUUGAAAAAUUAGCGGAUGACUUGUGGCUGGGGGUGAAAGGCCAAUCAAACCGGGAGAUAGCUGGUUCUCCCCGAAAGCUAUUUAGGUAGCGCCUCGUGAAUUCAUCUCCGGGGGUAGAGCACUGUUUCGGCAAGGGGGUCAUCCCGACUUACCAACCCGAUGCAAACUGCGAAUACCGGAGAAUGUUAUCACGGGAGACACACGGCGGGUGCUAACGUCCGUCGUGAAGAGGGAAACAACCCAGACCGCCAGCUAAGGUCCCAAAGUCAUGGUUAAGUGGGAAACGAUGUGGGAAGGCCCAGACAGCCAGGAUGUUGGCUUAGAAGCAGCCAUCAUUUAAAGAAAGCGUAAUAGCUCACUGGUCGAGUCGGCCUGCGCGGAAGAUGUAACGGGGCUAAACCAUGCACCGAAGCUGCGGCAGCGACGCUUAUGCGUUGUUGGGUAGGGGAGCGUUCUGUAAGCCUGUGAAGGUGUACUGUGAGGUAUGCUGGAGGUAUCAGAAGUGCGAAUGCUGACAUAAGUAACGAUAAAGCGGGUGAAAAGCCCGCUCGCCGGAAGACCAAGGGUUCCUGUCCAACGUUAAUCGGGGCAGGGUGAGUCGACCCCUAAGGCGAGGCCGAAAGGCGUAGUCGAUGGGAAACAGGUUAAUAUUCCUGUACUUGGUGUUACUGCGAAGGGGGGACGGAGAAGGCUAUGUUGGCCGGGCGACGGUUGUCCCGGUUUAAGCGUGUAGGCUGGUUUUCCAGGGCAAAUCCGGAAAAUCAAGGCUGAGGCGUGAUGACGAGGCACUACGGUGCUGAAGCAACAAAUGCCCUGCUUCCGGGGAAAAGCCUCUAAGCAUCAGGUAACAUCAAAUCGUACCCCCAAACCGACACAGGUGGUCAGGUAGAGAAUACCAAGGCGCUUGAGAGAACUCGGGUGAAGGAACUAGGCAAAAUGGUGCCGUAACUUCGGGAGAAGGCACGCUGAUAUGUAGGUGAAGUCCCUCGCGGAUGGAGCUGAAAUCAGUCGAAGAUACCAGCUGGCUGCAACUGUUUAUUAAAAACACAGCACUGUGCAAACACGAAAGUGGACGUAUACGGUGUGACGCCUGCCCGGUGCCGGAAGGUUAAUUGAUGGGGUCAGCGCAAGCGAAGCUCUUGAUCGAAGCCCCGGUAAACGGCGGCCGUAACUAUAACGGUCCUAAGGUAGCGAAAUUCCUUGUCGGGUAAGUUCCGACCUGCACGAAUGGCGUAAUGAUGGCCAGGCUGUCUCCACCCGAGACUCAGUGAAAUUGAACUCGCUGUGAAGAUGCAGUGUACCCGCGGCAAGACGGAAAGACCCCGUGAACCUUUACUAUAGCUUGACACUGAACAUUGAGCCUUGAUGUGUAGGAUAGGUGGGAGGCUUUGAAGUGUGGACGCCAGUCUGCAUGGAGCCGACCUUGAAAUACCACCCUUUAAUGUUUGAUGUUCUAACGUGGACCCGUGAUCCGGGUUGCGGACAGUGUCUGGUGGGUAGUUUGACUGGGGCGGUCUCCUCCUAAAGAGUAACGGAGGAGCACGAAGGUUGGCUAAUCCCUGGUCGGACAUCAGGAGGUUAGUGCAAUGGCAUAAGCCAGCUUGACUGCGAGCGUGACGGCGCGAGCAGGUGCGAAAGCAGGUCAUAGUGAUCCGGUGGUUCUGAAUGGAAGGGCCAUCGCUCAACGGAUAAAAGGUACUCCGGGGAUAACAGGCUGAUACCGCCCAAGAGUUCAUAUCGACGGCGGUGUUUGGCACCUCGAUGUCGGCUCAUCACAUCCUGGGGCUGAAGUAGGUCCCAAGGGUAUGGCUGUUCGCCAUUUAAAGUGGUACGCGAGCUGGGUUUAGAACGUCGUGAGACAGUUCGGUCCCUAUCUGCCGUGGGCGCUGGAGAACUGAGGGGGGCUGCUCCUAGUACGAGAGGACCGGAGUGGACGCAUCACUGGUGUUCGGGUUGUCAUGCCAAUGGCACUGCCCGGUAGCUAAAUGCGGAAGAGAUAAGUGCUGAAAGCAUCUAAGCACGAAACUUGCCCCGAGAUGAGUUCUCCCUGACUCCUUGAGAGUCCUGAAGGAACGUUGAAGACGACGACGUUGAUAGGCCGGGUGUGUAAGCGCAGCGAUGCGUUGAGCUAACCGGUACUAAUGAACCGUGAGGCUUAACCUU